rnacentral:rRNA from 1 species
GACGAACGCUGGCGGCGUGCCUAACACAUGCAAGUCGAGCGGGGUUGAGGCGAGAGGUAACUCGAGCUUCUACCUAGCGGCGGACGGGUGAGUAACGCGUGGGCAACCUGCCUCAAGGUUUGGGAUAACAGCCCGAAAGGGCUGCUAAUACCGGAUAUGCCUAUGGCCUCGCAUGGGGCUAUGAGCAAAGGGGAAACCCGCCUUGAGAUGGGCCCGCGUCCCAUCAGCUAGUUGGUGAGGUAACAGCUCACCAAGGCGACGACGGGUAGCCGGCCUGAGAGGGUGACCGGCCACACUGGGACUGAGACACGGCCCAGACUCCUACGGGGGGCAGCAGUGGGGGAUCUUGCACAAUGGGCGAAAGCCUGAUGCAGCGACGCCGCGUGAGCGAAGAAGGCCUUCGGGUUGUAAAGCUCUGUCUGGAGGGACGAACAAAAUGACGGUACCUCCGGAGGAAGCCACGGCUAACUACGUG